CCUACGGGUGGCAGCAGUGGGGAAUAUUGCACAAUGGGGGAAACCCUGAUGCAGCGACGCCGCGUGAGCGAUGAAGUAUUUCGGUAUGUAAAGCUCUAUCAGCAGGGAAGAAAAUGACGGUACCUGACUAAGAAGCCCCGGCUAACUACGUGCCAGCAGCCGCGGUAAUACGUAGGGGGCAAGCGUUAUCCGGAUUUACUGGGUGUUAAGGGAGCGUAGACGGCUGUGCAAGCCAGAUGUGAAAGCCCGGGGCUCACCCCCGGGACUGCAUUUGGAACUGUGUGGCUGGAGUGUCGGAGAGGCAGGCGGAAUUCCUAGUGGAGCGGUGAAAUGCGUAGAUAUUAGGAGGAACACCAGUGGCGAAGGCGGCCUGCUGGACGAUGACUGACGUUGAGGCUCGAAAGCGUGGGGAGCAAACAGGAUUAGAUAAGUC
rnacentral:rRNA from 1 species